rnacentral:rRNA from 4 species
CACACGUACCCAUCCCGAACACGACCGUUAAGCCCUCCAGCGCCGAUGGUACUUGGACCGAAGGGUCCUGGGAGAGUAGGACGUUGCCAAGC